rnacentral:rRNA from 1 species
GACGUAGGAUGCAAGCGUUGUCCGGAUUUAUUGGGCGUAAAGAGUUCGUAGGUGGUUUGUUAAGUCUGAUGUUAAAGACUGGGGCUCAACCUCGGAAAUGCAUUGGAUACUGGCAGACUUGAGUGCAGUAGAGGCAAGCGGAAUUCCCGGUGUAGCAGUGAAAUGCGUAGAGAUCGGGAGGAACAUCUGUGGCGAAGGCGGCCACCUGGACCAGCACUGACACUGAGGCACGAAAGCGUGGGGAGCAAACAGG